AGACGCUCUGGCGCACGCGCAGCUCCCCGUCUCCCGGGCAACUUCAUGAAAAAGACGCGGACCCUGACCCUGAGUGGAGCCUGAGUUCCCUGCACUGGGGCGGGCGGGACAAGUGACCGCUCCGCGCCCCUCUCCCUGCCCACCCCACCCAAGUCCCCACGCUCAGGCCACAAAACCCAGCCACUGACAUAAACCUCGACACCCACGGCUCCAGCAGCAGCCACAGGGCAGGUGUGGCCCCAGAUGUGCGCUCUGUGCUCACCUCUAUGUUAGCUACAAGGCAGAGUGGUCAAGAGGGAGGACCCCGGAGCCAGCCGUCAGGCCCAGGCCAGCGUGAACCUCUCUAGGCCUCAGCUUCUUCAGCUGCCGUUAAGCAAGAAGCUGGACUGGGAGCGGAGCAGCUGGGACAUGAACAAGUGCCCACGUGGGACGCCGGCACUGCAUGUGGUAGCUUCACCCACUCUGCCAUGACGCCAGCCCCUACUGCACAACUGGUCUCUGAAAACAGGUUUAUGUGUGGAAAAGUCCCAAUGAUUGAAAUACGAAAGUGAGACACACACAAGUCAACUACUGGGCUGCUAGCUCCCAAGGAGCAUCUCCUCACACAACGCAAAGAGGUGGAACGCGUCUCCGCAUCACGGCCUGCACAGUCACGCAGCUGGCACAGAGCUCUGCUGGGAGCUGCCUGGGACGGGCACCAGCUAAACAAGCAGAGCCCAGAAGGUCCCAGGACCCCCACCUCCCAGGGUCCCUGUGCUGAAAAUUUUUCCCCCAGGUCAAAUCAAAGCUACCUAGGGAAGAGUGCAUCAGCACUACCACAGUCAAGUAAAAUCACUUUCUCUCUCUAUUCUUAAACAGCCUCUCCACCGUUUCUCAAAAAAAAAAAAAAAAAAAAGUGUAAGAUUCAUUUUACCAGACCAGCACUUCUCUACCAAAAACUCCAGUAACUUAAAUAGUGGAUCUUAAAAAAAAGAGCACGGUUCCAGUACAUUAGUUGUGUUAAAAAUAGUCUGCUCCACAUCACUGCAGUACAGGAGGAAGUACAGGGCCUGCCAGAGAACUCAAAACACACCAGCUCCCAGAAAGGUUGCAUGCCCAGGACGUCUGAUCCUUGAAGGAGGAGGUGGCCACCUGCAGAGCUGCGACAGCUGCCUGACCCACAGUACACACAGAAGCUGCCAGGAGCCGGCAAUGGCCAUGCUGACUGCUGCACUUCAAGGACACCUGUGCCACCGCGAAGCCACUCUCACUUUCUGCUGAUGACCAGGCUGGGGACAUCACAGUGAGAGCAGGAGCUAUGACUUCUGCUGUUGUUUCCUUUUCUAUGGUGGUCAAAAGCCAGUAAGAUUUACAUCUGAACUACCUUUAGGGCAAAGUGUAUUAACUAGAUGCACACUGCUGUGGAAGAGAUCUUUAGAACCUUUUCAUCUUGCAAAAUCAAGAACCCACUAAAGAACAACUAUCCCUUUCCUGCUGGUCCUAGCCUUGGGCAGCCACCAUUCUACUUUCUGUUUGUCUUGUCAGGUGUCUCGUAAGCACGGAAUCAUGCAGCAUUUGUCUUUGUGUGACUGGCUCAUUUCACUAGGCAGUGUCCUCAAGGCUCACCAUGAUUUAGCCUGUGAUAGGGGUUCCCUCUUGAAGACUGGGUAAUAUUCCACUGACUGUACAUGCCACGUUUUCUUUAGUCAUUCACCUUUGGUUUUUUUCCCUUCACGGCUACUAAGAGACGUGCCCUCCUUUUAAGCCAAGCCUCAGAAGAUGAGCCUUGUAGCCACAUCCACCUGCUCCCGCCAACAGCAAACCCCUCUCCCCUGCUGCAGCUCCCAGCCCCAUCUCCCAUCACAAGGACUUCUUCCUUCUGUCAACUUUUCAGUUUGUUCUGAACCACUGAUCUGCUUUCCAGAGACCAUUCCCACCUCAUUCCAAACAGCCUUCGGACUCCUGGAGAAGACUUGGGUUGUGACUGUCAAAUGGCUACAGGAACAGUGUAGACGAAUCUGGAAGUACUCACAGCGGCCCAGGAGCUCCACCAGGUGCCUCCAGUACACAUCUGAGGACAAUCCCGUCAAGCCUCCAGCUUAACAAGAGUCAGCCCCCAGGAAAAACUAGUUCAUCAAACCCACUCUUCCAGGGUGUGAGCAAGCUUCUCUGACCUGGGCGAAGCAACAGCCCACUCCAGCUAACUGUCGCUUCAGGGUGGGAGAAGACAUCCUGUCCUGCCAGAGGAGACCCAGAAGCACUGGAGACUCGCAGUCCAGGGGCACAGGCUCAGCAAGGACCGAGACCCAAUCACGGGGCUGCAGGAUGCUUCCCCUCCCUGGACAGUGCAGCCCCACAUUACUAAUGGCCUGUUCACCACAGUGCUUUUACAUAGCACAUCACGCUUGUGAUCAAGAAACGAUUCCUCCUCUACACGAGCCUUUACCCACACACCCUACAAACCGAGUCCCUGUCGCCACCAGCUGUUAUUUUGCCUGUUUGUGUUUAUUUUAAUCUGCCUCCCCAACUAGAAUCUGCCCUCCUAGAGAGUAGGACUCCUGUCUACCUUGUGACAUUGAGGGGCUAUGCUCAGGGACAGAAUUUCACAUAAAUCUGCUCAAUAAACAAAGUUAAUUAACGAACAAAUGAAUGAAAUGAGCUUCUGAAGUAUCAGCCAGGUUAGUCCAGGUCGGCCAGAGGCCCCAGCUCAAGUAGGAUUAAGGCAGUUUGUAUUUUCAGACUUCUGUAUUUAUUACAACAAUAAACUCUAGAUUCCAACA